AACAGAAAUAACGUAUUUUACGAGUUGUCCCGUUGUUGUGAUUGCGGCUCGUCGAAUGCGAGUUUCGUCUUCAAAUCAUCGGUGGGAAUGCCGAAAGUGUUUCGACGGAGCAAUCGAGAGUUAGGAUGCAACAUCGCGUUUAAAUAAAUAUUCAAAGUGCUAUGAUGGAACAAGCAGAAACUAGCGUUCGAUUGGAAAAUCCGGAUAGAGGACAAUAUACAACAAGAUCGCUGUAACCGGUUAGAUCAUGCAUGCUAGUAGGACACGAACAUCUGGCGUUUCGCCCAAUAACUCAACUAAUAUGAGUUUCAAUUAUGGAAAAUAUCACUGAAAUUUGAAAUUUCGGACAAAACGUUGCGAGAUGAAGAUAAAAGCAAUUUUGUGAGCGCAAGCACGAGUCCAGCAUCUUAAAUAAUUCCCAAGGAUUCAAUCAACAGUAAAUAAUAAGCGACUAUACGACGUAACGAAAUGGUUAAUUAUUGAAAUUACAAUUAACAUAGUUGAGAGAAAGUAUAGAUCGUGAUACGACACAAAAUGUUCAUGAGAUCAUUCAGAUAAUGAUCAUGUUAAA